AAUCUUCCAUAAUGGGCGAAAGCCUGAUGGAGCAACGCCGCGCGAGUGAAGAAGGUUUUCGGAUCGUAAAACUCUGUUGUUGGAGAAGAACGUAUUUGAUGGUAACUGACCAGGUAGUGACGGUAUCCAACCAGAAAGCCACGGCUAACUACGUUCCAGCAGCCGCGGUAAUACGUAGGUGGCAAGCGUUGUCCGGAUUAAUUGGGCGUAAAGCCGGCGCAGGCGGUUUCUUAGGUCUGAUGGGAAGGCCUUCGGCUCAACCGAAGAAGUGCAUCGGAAACUGGGAAACUUGAGUGCAGAAGAGGACAGUGGAGCUCCAUGUGUAGCGGUGAAAUGCGUAGAUAUAUGGAAGAACACCAGUGGCGAAGGCGGCUGUCUGGUCUGUAACUGACGCUGAGGCUCGAAAGCAUGGGUAGCAAACA
rnacentral:rRNA from 1 species